rnacentral:rRNA from 1 species
CGCCUGUUUAUCAAAAACAUGUCCUUUAGAAAAAUAUUAAAGGUCUAUUCUGCCCAAUGAUAUUUUAAUGGCCGCGGUAAGUUGACCGUGCAAAGGUAGCAUAAUAAUUAGUCUUUUAAUUAAAGGCUUGUAUGAAUGAAUGGAUGAAAAAUUUUCUUUUUUAAUUAAAAUAGAUUGAAUUUAGAGUUUAAGUAAAAAAUCUUAAAUAAAUAAGUGGGACGAGAAGACCCUAUAGAAUUUUAAAUAAAUUUGUUUUACUAGAAUUUAGAAUUAAUAACUGAAAAAUUACUUUAUUUUUUGUUGGGGUGACAUUAUAAUAAAUAAAACUUUAAAUGAACUUUUCAUAAAUUAAUGCUUAAUUGAUCCAAUUUUUUGAUUAUAAGAUUAAAUUACCUUAGGGAUAACAGCGUUAUUAAUUUGGAGAGUUCAUAUCGAUAAAUUAGAUUGCGACCUCGAUGUUGGAUUAAGAAAAGAGUUUAGAGCAAUAUCUAAAUAUUCUAGGUCUGUUCGACCUUUAAUUUCUUACAUGAUCUGAGUUCAAACCGGAG